rnacentral:rRNA from 1 species
CCUACGGGAGGCAGCAGUGGGGAAUAUUGCACAAUGGGGGAAACCCUGAUGCAGCGACGCCGCGUGAGUGAAGAAGUAAUUCGUUACGUAAAGCUCUAUCAGCAGGGAAGAAAUACUGACCGUACGGUCAGCAGACGGUACCGGAGGAAGAAGCCCCGGCUAACGACGUGCCAGCAGCCGCGGUAAUACGUAGGGGGCAAGCGUUAUCCGGAUUUACUGGGUGGAAAGGGAGCGUAGACGGUGCGCCAAGUCUGGAGGGAAAUGACGCCGCUUAACUGCGGAACUGCUUUGGAAACUGGCGAACUAGAGUGCGGGAGGGGUAAGUGGAAUUCCUCUUGUAGCUG